rnacentral:tRNA from 1 species
GGGCGAAUGGUCUAGGGGUAUGAUACUCCCUUCGCAUAGCCGAAGCAAUUCGGAAUCUAUCUAGUGUUUGGGAGGGGUCCGGGGUUCAAUUCCCCGUUCGUCCA